rnacentral:rRNA from 1 species
UUCAAAGAGUGCGUAAUAGCUCACUAGUCGAGUGACCCUGCGCCGAAAAUGUACCGGGGCUAAAACAUAUUACCGAAGCUGUGGAUGACACAAAAGUGUCAUGGUAGGAGAGCGUUCUAUGUGUGAAGAAGGUGUACCGUGAGGAGCGCUGGAACGCAUAGAAGUGAGAAUGCCGGUAUGAGUAGCGCAAGACAGGUGAGAAUCCUGUCCACCGUAAGACUAAGGUUUCCAGGGGAAGGCUCGUCCGCCCUGGGUUAGUCGGGACCUAAGGAGAGACCGAAAGGUGUAUCCGAUGGACAACAGGUUGAUAUUCCUGUACUAGAGUAUAUAGUGAUGGAGGGACGCAGUAGGCUAACUAAACCAGACGAUUGGAAGUGUCUGGUCAAACAGUGAGGUGUGAUAUGAGUCAAAUGCUUAUAUCUUUAACAUUGAGCUGUGACGAGGAGCGAAGUUUAGUAGCGAAGUUAGUGAUGUCACACUGCCAAGAAAAGCUUCUAGCGAUACAUAUACUCUACCCGUACCGCAAACCGACACAGGUAGUCGAGGCGAGUAGCCUCAGGUGAGCGAGAGAACUCUCGUUAAGGAACUCGGCAAAAUGGCCCCGUAACUUCGGGAGAAGGGGCGCUGAUUUUAGAUCAGCCGCAGUGAAUAGGCCCAAGCAACUGUUUAUCAAAAACACAGCUCUCUGCUAAAUCGUAAGAUGAUGUAUAGGGGGUGACGCCUGCCCGGUGCUGGAAGGUUAAGAGGAGUGCUUAGCGUAAGCGAAGGUAUGAAUUGAAGCCCCAGUAAACGGCGGCCGUAACUAUAACGGUCCUAAGGUAGCGAAAUUCCUUGUCGGGUAAGUUCCGACCCGCACGAAAGGCGUAAUGAUUUGGGCACUGUCUCAACGAGAGACUCGGUGAAAUUUUAGUACCUGUGAAGAUGCAGGUUACCCGCGACAGGACGGAAAGACCCCAUGGAGCUUUACUGCAGUUUGAUAUUGAGUAUCUGUACCACAUGUACAGGAUAGGUA